UUCCUACUGAUUCACCCCUGCAUAAAUUUUUAAAUUCCUGGAGUGAUCCUAAUUUGUCUAAGGAGAAUUGGAUGACAAAGAAAGAAGCUAGAAAGCUUUGUAAGGUGGUUGAACAUUCCAUGGAGCAAGCAUUAGGCUGGAAGAUAGAGGACCUGGAUUGGAUGGAGAAAUUGAAGAUUAGAGAAGGAAGUGAUUUGUCCAGAAUAAAUCUAGGGUUGGUGCUACAAUUAGAUGUCACAUCUCUUGAUUUUAAUUUAAGUACAUUUUCCAUCAUAUCCUACUCUAACUCUUUCAGACUACAUUUCCCAGAGGGCAGCAUUUUCACCAUUUUUCUUACGGUCUUUCUUUGAAGUAGAAUAUCUACCACCACUAUGUUUUAUGGAGAGAUUAAUGGAUUCAAGACAAAAGUAUAAGCUUUAAGCAGAUCCCUGUUCCUUACUUCUCCUAGCAGGAGAACUAGACACAUACCCCCUAAUUAGGGCUGAGGGAAGAAGAGAAAAUGGAUUGAACUGAUGACUCUCCUCCCUUCCCUAGCCAUAUCUAUAUACUAGACCUAAUUUAGGAAGGAACAAAAAAAGAUGGCAUAGUCCCUUCACCUCUAGUUUCACCUCUUUUCAUUCCAUCACACUCAUACCACCUCCUAAUUCACCUUCUUAGAACAUAUGUUACUCUUCUACCAAGGGCCAGAAGUAUAUCUGCCCACUACAUUAAUUCUAAACUAUAUUUAACCUUCAAAAUCUUCCAUAAUCUGGCCCCACCCACCAGUUGGUCUCCCACAACUCUCCAGUGCCUUCCCAAGAAAACUGUAAUCCCAAAUCCAUUCCAAUCUCAACCACACUGAUGAAUAAGUGGCUUGAGUAAUCAAUCUGCAGUCUUAUAGAUGGUUGCUUUGUUUUCAGAGUUGUUUCUCCAAGGAGGAGACUGAAGGGGAUGGAUGGAUGAAUCAAUGAAUGAAAAAACACUUAUUACUAUAUGUAAAACACUGUCGAGAGCUGAGGACAUGAAAAUCAAGGCAGAACUCAUUCUUUUUUUUUUUUUAAACUCU
rnacentral:lncRNA from 1 species